UUGCUCCAGAGGCUGCCCCUGGCUUCUGCAAUGGACACUACCUCACCUUGGUGCCCCUUGGCGCUAGAGUGCACUUUUAGGACAGCACUUUGCACGUGACAUUCAGGCACCUGUUCGUGAGACUCUCUCCUGCAACUACACCAAAGCCCCUCAAGGGCAAAGGACUUUUGUUUUUCUCACUUUUGUACUCCCAGCUCUUACCACUGUGCUUUGAAUAUAGAAGUGCUCCACUAAUGACUGGGGAACAGAAUCAAACCAGGCCAGGGGCCAGGCAGCCACCGAAGACUCUCCUUCCGGCCACUCUGCUUACUGCCCCGCAUGUCAAAAUAGAAGAACUUAAAUUCCCCAAGAUAGGAACGCCAGGAAAAUGGCCCCACAAUCAGCUUCCUUGGGAAGCACAGCCCUGAAGCAGGAACAUGAAGCUUUCGGGGAGAUGCGCAGCCCUGCAAGCUCAGAUCUUCCUUCUUUAGGAGGUGGUUUCCCACGGAGACAGCCAGAUUCGUGGAACAUUUCCACCCUCAUGGCCUCCUUCAGAAAGGAGCAGGUUCUCUUACUCGGCUUCAUUUUCAAAUGCUAAUUUGGUACACACCCUGCCAGAGUAUCUAAGCCAGAGGUGGAUUUGCUUCAGAACAGUUCUUGUUUUCAACGGCUGGAACACCCUCUCUGGAGAUGACACCCCUCUUAGGUUAAAGUGUGUUUCUUAUUGUGUUGAAGAUGAUCUUUCUCAGUAGGAAUGAACUAUAGACACACAGGUCCAACUUCACGCAGCAGUUACGACCUUGAAAUCAUAGGCCGAGCCUCUCUGUGCCCCUUUGCCCAGCUGUCCACCUCCACCCCGGCCUUUAGCUAAAAAAAUGCACAGAAGAAGCUAAAAGAAAAUAAAAGAAAAUUGAUUCCACUACUCAGAGAUCAUCACUGCCAACAUCUUGGUCUCAGUAGCUCACAUGGAUUGGUCAGCAUUGUUCCAGAAUCAAGCUCUGCAUAAUCAAACCAGGACCGCCUGUUGUCCCAGGAGCUUCCUAACUCCUCUGAUCGGCGCAUCUACCUUGAUCGGCACUCAGAUAAGCCACACCAUGGACCAGCUGGUGAUGGGGGAAAAUGUCAGCUUUGCUUUUAGGGAUUUGUUAUUGUGGGAACCCACUGUUUAUCAGCAGCUCUAGUUGAUCCACCUGCUUUGUGGUGCCAACAUAGGAACUUGUCUGGAGGGUCAGAGAAGAAGCAAUUGGCCCUCAAAGCACAUUGACACCUUUGAGGAAGGCGGAGGCCAAGUCAGCAGGCAGCAGCUUGCAGGGAAAUUAAGCAGAAUUCUGAACUUUUGGAAAGAAGUAAAUUUCUGGCACUUGGCAUGGUUUCAGAAUGAAUUCUGGAGGUUGGUGUAGUUCCCUGGAUCCAGGGGGCUUGGGGAAUUCCAUAUGAGUCAUUUGGGCUGACCUCAUAAGUGCCCCAGGGUAAGGGGCAAUCCUCUGUCUCCCCAGGCACUUCUGUUCAAGCAUUCUGCCCAGGAGUUGGCACAGCCACCCACGCCUGGCCACCUCAAGAGAUAGAUGGAAUACCAGCAGCCCACGGAUGUCCCUUGUCAGCAAAAAGCACCCUGGAAAUGGGUGGCUGGAUAAAAGGUCCUCUGUCUGUUGUUGGCUGGGAUAGCGUCUACCACAGCCUACACUUGUAUUAUGGGAAUAUUUCUCUAUAGCUUAAUGCUCCUGAGAGAAGUGCACAUUUUCUGCUAAAUGUGUGGCUUCAUGGGCUUGUCGUUGAUAGCUUUCCUAGGAGAGGCCUUCAUGCUUCUACUUGGAGUCUGACCCCUACCCUUCCACCCUCAGCCUAGCUAGGCCUGAGCAGGUGCAUAAAGUGAUCUGACCUAGUGAAUGGGAAGGUGUACACCGAUAGAAUCUGUACAUUUUGCCUAUACUGCAUUCAAGAGAAUACAGUUGUGCAUCAUGACAUUUCAUCAAUGACGGACCACUGACUCAUUACCAGUGAUCCGGUAAGACGAUAACAGAUCUAUACAGUGGCAUGGGCUGUACCAUCUAAGUUUGUGUAAGUACACUCUAUGAUGUUUGCACAACAAUGAAACCAGCUAAUGACAUAUUUUUCAGAGUGCAUCCCUGGUGUGAGUGUAUAUUAAGGCCAAUUUCAUCUGUUUCUUCUUAUCUUUUAAUGUGGCCACUUAAAGGUUUAAAACUACACGCGUAGCUUGUGUUGUCUUUGUAUUGGGCAACGCUUUUUCAGUGGACGCCGAAUGUUACGAAACCCUGAGCUGGGAGUCCCUGCAUCCGAGUUCCAGCAUCAUCUGUGGCACUAACAAACCUGGAAGGCUUUGAGUAAAUCUCUUCCCUGGGCCUCAGUUUCCUCAUCUGUAGAACAGGAGAGUUGAACUACAUAAUAUCCAACCUACCAGCAACUUUCAACUUUUCUGCUACCCAGGUAAUGGGUAAGUUAGAAAGAAAUGACAGUUUGCACAGCCAGUCUGUAUUCCUGCGGAAGGACAGGGCGCGUACUCACACUGUCUGAUAAAAGGUUAAACAGCAUGGCACUGGUAAAUGCAGGAGCACGGAGGGCACUCUCUUAUUUAUUCAUUAGCCACCGCCCACUGAAUUCCCUAAAGACUACUCUAUCUUUGGAAACUGAGCUCCUGAGUCUCCUUACAUACCCAUACCCAGGAGGUGCCAUGGGCUGAGAGGCUGGGCCUGAGAGAGCCAGCUCACAAAUUCAGGGCCCUGGGUCUCAGAAAUCAAUUUCAGGGCAAGGGAGGCAAGGCAUUAACUGUCUCUUCCAGGAACACUUUCACAGAAAGCCUUUUAAGAGCUGGAGAGGAGCGACGGCAUCUGGGCUCUCGAAUUGUUUAUGCAUGCAAACACCGAAAUUAAUAUUUCAGAUCAGCAAAUAGAAGAACCCAAGUCACUCACUGGCCUCUCGUUUGCAUCACAGAAGCCCCGAACUCUGUUUCUCCUUCCUCAAUCUCAAUCUUGUUUCUGGAGGCUUUGUCGGGAUUCCCUUCCCAUCUUGCCACUUCCUUGCUUUACAAACCUCAGAUGGUUCCUCUUUCCCUGGGAACAGAAUCUAGUCUGGUGUUCCAGUUUUCCCCACCUGCCAUCUCGCCCCGAUUUUCCUGCCCAGACCUCCCUCCUCCAGCCCCACCUCCCCCAGGUGACUUGCCUUUCCUGGACCUUGCCCAGCCCAACCACAAGCCCUGGCUCAUGGGGUCCCCUCUGCUGGACAGGACCUUUCCUCCACCAGCAGCCCUGCAGCGUCCUCUGCCUUCGGGUCCCCAGUUUAGGUGACACAGGUUUCCUCCACAAAUAGCUGCCCUUACGGUGCCUCACUCUUUGAUCCUGGCCAUCCCUGCUUUAUUUUAUUAAUCCUUCCAACCAGCAUGCCAGGUGGGGACUCUCACAAGGAAGUGGCAGAUCAGGGAGGUUGGAACCCAGCCAGGCCACUCUGGAGCCCACACAAGUAACCCUUGUGCUGACUUGCUUCUCCUGGGGAUUUCUCUGUUUCCUUGGCGUUCCUGCAGCACAUUUUCUGUCUCUCUUAUCACGCUUGUGUUAGUUUGCCAGAGCGGCCAUCCAAAAUACUGUAGACGGGGUGGCUUAAACAAUAGGAAUUUAUUUUCUCACAGUGCUGAACGUUAGAAGUCCAAGAGUGAGGUGUCGGCAGGUUUUGAACCAUUUUCUGGAAACCUCUCUCCUUGGCUUGCAGACGGCAUCUUCUCCCCAUGUCCCCACAUGCUGUGCCCUCUGUGUGUGCCUGUGUCCUAAUCGCCUCUUCCUACAGGGACACCUGUCAGAUUGGAUCAGGGCCGAUCCACAAGACCUCAUUUUAAUUUAAUUGCCGUUUAAGGACCCUAUCUUCA